AUUGAACGCUGGCGGCAUGCUUUACACAUGCAAGUCGAACGGUAACAGGUUAAGCUGACGAGUGGCGAACGGGUGAGUAAUGCAUCGGAACGUGCCGGAUCGUGGGGGAUAACGCAGCGAAAGCUGCGCUAAUACCGCAUACGAUCUGAGGAUGAAAGCGGGGGACCGUAAGGCCUCGCGCGAUCGGAGCGGCCGAUGUCAGAUUAGGUAGUUGGUGGGGUAAAGGCUCACCAAGCCAACGAUCUGUAGCUGGUCUGAGAGGACGACCAGCCACACUGGGACUGAGACACGGCCCAGACUCCUACGGGAGGCAGCAGAGGGGAAUUUUGGACAAUGGGCGAAAGCCUGAUCCAGCAAUGCCGCGUGCAGGAAGAAGGCCUUCGGGUUGUAAACUGCUUUUGUACGGAGCGAAAAGGCUCUCUCUAAUACAGGGGGCUCAUGACGGUACCGUAAGAAUAAGCACCGGCUAACUACGUGCCAGCCGCCGCAGUAA
rnacentral:rRNA from 1 species